rnacentral:snRNA from 1 species
GUCUUGCUUCGGCAGUACAUAUAGUAAAAUUGGAACGAGUCCGAGCAGAUUAUCAUGGACCCUGCGCUAGGAUGAUACGCAAAAUUCUGAGACGAACCGCUAGUCU